AAAUAACCAAGAGAAUGUGUACAUUUUUGAUAAAGUUUCUUAAAUAAGAACAACAAUAUUAUAAAAAUAAAGAAAACGGAGAGCAUUUUAAUCUACAACAACAAAAUAAAUAUAAAAUUGGGAUCUUAAAAAAAAAUAAACUGAAAAUUGUGAAGUAUAUUAAACUACAAAGCUGUAUGAAAGGAGCUAGAGACAAUCUACACGAUGCUGGAGGCAUUGGCACCGGACAAUAGUACUUCUUUUUGGGCACACUUUGGAUGAGCUGUUGGUCUUGUGAAUACACAUACAUACUUCUGUGGUCCUCCUUUAAAUCUUAGACCCUCGCAGCAUUGUGUUUCAUUAUAGGCGGAACUAUUGGAGCUAUCGAUUGCAUACAAGUCUCGAUGUGUCCUGUCACUCUAUAAUGUGCAAAUGAUAAAACCAAAAAUAUUUUAAAUGAAUCGAUAACAAAGUUAAGUAUUUUUGUUUAUGUACUAUGUUUACCAUAUUUUAAAUGUCAAAUUUCCAUAAGCCCGAGAUGAUUCCUAUAUAUAGAGCUCCUCAGAGUUCUGCAAAUAUGUUUUGAAAAUGCAGAUAACAACAUAUUUUUGGCGACACAUAUUAAAUGUUUUUUAUUUAAAAUUAUAUAUCUAGAGGUGAUUCUGGGUAUCCAUUGAGAUCCUGGCUGAUGACUUCUCAACCAAACCAUUCAAAGGGGACCACAAAAGUUCAGUAUAAAGAGAUAUAGUAAAUCACAUAACUAUACUGAACGAUGGUGUCAUUAUAGGAACCUAUCGAAAUGUAGUACAGGCAAAUUCGAAACAUUCGUAAACUAUUGGAAUUAAAAAAAAUUCAAAAAUUUGCAGUGCACUGACAAUAUUUAUUGAAAUUAAUGUACAAUAUAUAAGUAUGUAUUUUUUGGAUGCUUCACUUCCCAAACCGAUUAUCAUAUAAUAUUUUGUAUAAUAUCAGUUAAACGUUUUG